AGCAUUUAAGGUGGGGACGUCAGAUGAGACUGCCGGUGACAAACCGGAGGAAGGUGGGGACGACGUCAAGUCAUCAUGGCCCUUAUGUCCUGGGCUACACACGUGCUACAAUGGCCGGUACAGAGUGAAGCGAAACCGCGAGGUGAAGCAAAACGCAGAAAGCCGGUCUCAGUACGGAUUGGAGUCUGAAACUCGACUUCAUGAAGUUGGAAUCGCUAGUAAUCGCGCAUCAGCAUGGCGCGGUGAAUACGUUCCCGGGCCUU
rnacentral:rRNA from 1 species